rnacentral:rRNA from 1 species
CAGUAGCCGCGGUAAUACGUAGGGUGCAAGCGUUAAUCGGAAUUACUGGGCGUAAAGCGUGCGCAGGCGGUUUGUUAAGACAGAUGUGAAAUCCCCGGGCUCAACCUGGGAACUGCAUUUGUGACUGGCAGGCUAGAGUAUGGCAGAGGGGGGUGGAAUUCCGCGUGUAGCAGUGAAAUGCGUAGAUAUGCGGAGGAACACCGAUGGCGAAGGCAGCCCCCUGGGCCAAUACUGACGCUCAUGCACGAAAGCGUGGGGAGCAAACAGGAUUAGAUACUCCUGUAGUCCCUGUCUCUUAUAC